rnacentral:rRNA from 1 species
UACGGAGGGGGCGAGCGUUGUCCGGAUUCAUUGGGCGUAAAGCGCUUUAAGGCGGUUCUCUAAGUCGGGUGUGUAACCUCCAAGCUCAACCUGGAGACGCCACUCGAUACUGGCGUGACUAGAGUUCGGUAGGGGACCACGGAAUUCCUGGUGUAGCGGUGAAAUGCGCAGAUAUCAGGAGGAACACCAGUGGCGAAGGCGGUGGUCUGGGCCGAUACUGACGCUGUAGAGCGAAAGCGUGGGGAGCGAACAGG